AGAGAGACAGUGAGGCAUAUUUAGAAUGGAGAAAAAAAAUGGAAAAAUUGUUUGUAUUUUAAAAAAAUCUGUUUUAAAUGACUGUCUAAUCAGUCAUCAGCUCAGCUUGUCCUUCUUACUGUUAAACAGAGAGUACUCACGAAGAUAAUUUUGACUCUUCUUUUUUGCCGUCACUUCCUAUCUGCUGAAGAGCUGCUUAGUCUGCCUGGAGAAGUGAAGUAUACCUGCCUCUCUCUUAGCCACCCUGCAACCACUCUAACUGUCAGAGGAAGUGAUGAAGCAAUGAAUAUCCAGGCCUGAAGAUACAGGCCAUGUGCAGUAGGUAGCCGUCCAACGGCCUCUGCACUCCUCCUCGCUGGGAACCUCUCCUGAAGUGGCAGGACCAAGAUAAGAUUGUCCCACUGUUCUGGUGCAGUUCCCUUCUGCUGCUCCCAGGUGGGUUCAGUUGCAGCUGCCAGAUGUGGUCAUGGAACGGCAGUCAGGAGAUACCACCUUCUGCUUACUGCCAGGCUAAGGACAAUUCUCUGAAUCAAAAUCAUGACCUGCUUGCAGCAGAUUUCGGGGACAGGAACAAGCGUGGGCCUGACCACGAACACUCAGAGGCACUCCCUCUCGCUGCAAGACAAGCUGUGGUGCGAGCAGGUUCAGGGGCUGUGCAAGACCUGCAGGUAAGAAGCUGAAAUGCUGCAGCGUGCUCUAUUAGAUGCUACAUCUCCUCUAGCAGUGUAGCUAAACGAACAGAUGCGUCAGGUAGCCUGAAACAUAUCAGUCAUAUUCUGCUUGCAGGAAUUUUCAUGAAAACCAGACAAUUCUGACAACUUCAGCCUGCUGAUCCAGUCAUGUUCUAGUUGCUCUGCACAGCUUUGAUUCUUGGUGUUCUCAACCACACUGAUACUUCUCAUACGAGCAGUGGCUCCAGUCUGGAGACUUGUCUACGCCAGCUGCCCUGCUUCUUCCCCCGCUUGCCUCACUCAUUCCUGUGUUUUUCCAGCAGCUUCCACCUUGUCUUGUCAUUCUAGCAAGCCAGAAACAGUGCAACUGCUUUUAAAACUUUUUUUUCCUUACUGCCUGGUGGAGUAAUAAAUGUGUUUGAUCUAGACUUUAGGUCUUAACUCAUCAGUAAGUCAAACAAACACGAGCUAGCAUUCCUACUCACCCCAGGGAUUUAAACGCAGUUAAGCCAGCACUCAGUAUCUUUCAGAUUGCAAAGCAAAUCUGAUUAAGUUUAAUGAAUUAACUUUUUGCCAUCUGAAUAUUUGCAUAAUUAUUGGUGGAGUUAUGAAAUUGUUUUUUAAAUUGUAUCACCUUCCACUGAGAGGCGGCAAUGAGAGGGGCAGAGCUGUAGAAGUACCUCUGAGAUAGAUAAACAUCCGGUAAGUCUUUCUCCUGCUACAGCCCAUGUUUACUGUUUCAGGUACACUCUCAUCUCUGCUUUUAAACUUGCUGUAUAAUAAUAUGUGCAUGCCAGCCAAACAGUAACAACAUUAUGCAUAAAUAGGUCUGAUAUAGGGCUUUGAUAUUUAAAAACAUUAUCUAUAUGAUAUUUGAAAUAUUUAGAACUUGUUUCACCAAAAAAAAAAAAAAAACAACGUUGGGUUUG